GACGUCUUUGGUGGCCUAGUAGUUAGAGCGUUCGCAUCAGAUGCGGGAGUUCGCGGGUUUGAAACCCGGCCAAGUCA